GAGCAGGGAGCCCCAUGUGCAGCUCAAUCCCAGGACCCUGGGAUCGUGACCCUGAGCCGAAGUCAGACACUUAACUCACUGAGCCACCCAGGUGCCCCCUAUUCCUUGUCUUCAUCUAAUCUCAUCAGGAGAAACACACUCCUGCAGCUAAACCUCUAAAUCCCUGGAAUGACAUCUUUACUUAUAAAAACUGACAGCCAGAGAAACACAAGGGAGGGGACCAGCAGCUUGGUAACUUGACAGACAGCAAAGAGGAAGGGACUCCUUGGGAAAGUAAGUGGUCACUGAAACCACCACAGGAUGUUAACUUCUGUGCAGGCCCACUUUGCAAUGUAGCAAAUUACUGGGACAUUGAGAAGUAAUGAGGUCUCAUUAGAAUCCACUGGGACGUGGUUAUACCACAAAAUCCAAGUCCUAAAACUUUUAUGAUGGAGAAAGGAAAUAAGCCUCUUCAAACCUGAAUCCCUUACUAGUAAUAAAGAUCCAUUUGCCAAACAGAAGAAAAUUGAAAAUGAUUAUAACAAUUACAAAGGAGACUUUGUAGUCUCCUUCCACAGACCAGACAUAUAUCUCUGACGAAGAAAGGCAUAGGAGCUUCGUAUGCUUUUCUUUUAACACAGACUAAAACAGCUAAACAGUUCUGUUGUCCGUAAAUACUGGUCCUAAGACUAUCAGAUGGUCACUUUUUACUAUCUUAAAUUCUUUUUUUUAAUUGGGGAGAGAGCCUUACUUAGGAUUUUUCAGGACCCAGUGUGCAUCCUUACACAAUCUUCCAAUUUUAUCUUUAAAAUAAAAGAAUGAUUAUGUUCAAGACAUUAAAGGCAAAUAAUUUACAUCAGUGAAUUUUCAUUGUACAAGACAGUCACUUAAAAACGUCAUUUUUCCUUAAAUGUGAUCUUAAGAAAACAGAAUAAAGAAAAAUUAACUGGAGUGGGAAAUGCUAAGCAAAAAUAAAUAAAACACACACACACACACAUGUAUUUUCAAAUGUGCUGGGCUGGAGAAAGACAUGUUAAGCCCACACAAGAAAAUGCAUUUUUUUUUUUUUUUUUUUACUUUGGCAUAAAAGGGUAAGUUUCUUUGAUUUUUAGGAUAGAUUUGGUGCAUUUGAAAGUUCAAGUUUUGGCUCUGGAUUAGUUUUGCCUUUUUCCUUUGAAAAGGGCAGCUGAAGAGCUGGAGUUCCUAACCUGGGUAUCCCUGAGCGCGGCGAAUCCCUUGCAACUUUUUAAAACGAUGGCGACGUCGUGUUUGCAGCAGUGACGGUCCUUUACAUGGGCUUCCUCACCUCCGACCUGAGAACAAGUAGACGCCUCCCUGCGUGGACGCUGACCUCAAAACUCAGGGACGUGAACGGCUCUGAACCUCUGCCCGCUGGACUCAGUCCGACGACAACGCCUCCGAUCCCCUGCAACUGACCGGAUCCCGCUUGCCUGUGCUGGAAGCAGGUGUCAAGUCAGCCGGCGCUCGCCUCGCUACGGUGCAGAAAUGCCGUGUGAUGAGCUGAGGAACCGAGCCGUGCACGCUUCCUAACCAGGAGAGAGGAACUGCGCCGGGGAGGAAGCUACGCUAGCGUCCUGCGUUCGGUAAAGUCCCCAAUUUACGCAGGAAAGGGUCACCCUGCUUGCAGGGUGGUGUGAAACCUCCGAGCUGGUUGAUGACGAACUCGCCUCUUCUUAUUCUUGGGGACUCUAGACGGUCGGAGACCCUUGCAGGACCUCCCCAACGACCGCCCGUCUCUCAUGGCAGACCCCCCACCCCCGUCACCCCCGUCACCCCCAAGCUCUCGGACACCCUUACCUACUCGCGACCUUCCUCUCCCACGCGCACGCGCCCCUCUCCCGGAAGGCCCGCCCCCCGGCCCGGCUCCACGCUCCCGCGGGAGGGAGCCUACCACCGAGAGCAGCGGAGAAGCGGAAGCUUGCGGCUAGAGCGGAGCGCGGGGGAACCCGGAACUACUAGCGCUCUCGCUCGGAGGCCUCAGAGGUCAUCCCUGGCGCCUGCGCAGUGAGGGGCGUGCGCCGCGUAGGCGGAGCGCGGAGGUGGUUUACGGAGAUCGUCGCCCUACGGGAACGUCUUGCAGGGCAUCAGGUAGGAGUGCAUCUCGUGGCAAUCUUGGGAUCCCAUAAAGCCAUAUGUCUAUUUCUGGCCGAUGAGUUGUGAAUAGAAGUGAAGCAUCACCUUCACUCAUAUGGAACUCUCCAGAGGCCUCUUCUGUCUGGUGUAAAGGGUCCUUGCUCUGUCAGUGUAGUCCUCUGAGUGGUUAUGAGAAGUGGAUCCUGCUCUGUCAGCCACAACGUGCACAUAGCUUAGAGGGAGAGAGUGUGUGCACACAUGUGCACUAGGGAAGAGCAGAGGGAGAGAGAAUUUUAAGCAGCCUCCCCACCGAGUGCAGAGCUGUUCGUGAGGCUCCAUUUCACAACCCUGAGAUCAGGACCUGAGCUAAAAUCAGACUUGGCAGCUUAACCAACUGAGCCACCAGGGAAAUCCAUCCAUAAAGUGCAUGCCUGCCGGACCAAAACAUAAUGAUCCAGUUGAGGGAGGAGAUGGCUUUUUGCUUGCAUAUGUCAUAAAAAGAUGGAAAAUUUAAAGCAACGAGGAGAGUACCCUGGAAAAACCAUGACUUUUUUUCCUCCUGAAAACAAUCUUCACUGUCAAGAAGAGUAAGGCAAAAAUAUACAGUUCAAAGCCCUUAGAGGCAGAAUUAUCUCUAAGGAGAACACUUUUAAUUUUGGAUGUCAGUGAUUCUUUCAUAGAUAUUGUGCUUUUGAAUGAAUUGUUCAGUUGGAACCUAGGGAAUCCUGGCUGCAUGGGGAAUUAAUCAUACACAUAAAAG